UGGGGAAUUUUGGACAAUGGGCGAAAGCCUGAUCCAGCCAUGCCGCGUGAGUGAAGAAGGCCUUCGGGUUGUAAAGCUCUUUUAGUCGGAAAGAAAGAGUUGCAAUGAAUAAUUGUGAUUUAUGACGGUACCGACAGAAAAAGCACCGGCUAACUACGUGCCAGCAGCCGCGGUAAUACGUAGGGUGCGAGCGUUAAUCGGAAUUACUGGGCGUAAAGGGUGCGUAGGCGGACUAAUAAGUCAGUGGUGAAAGCCUGCAGCUUAACUGCAGAAUUGCCAUUGAUACUGUUAGUCUUGAGUACAGUUGAGGUAGGCGGAAUGUGUCAUGUAGCGGUGAAAUGCUUAGAUAUGACACAGAACACCGAUUGCGAAGGCAGCUUGCUAAGCUGUAACUGACGCUGAGGCACGAAAGCGUGGGGAGCAAACA
rnacentral:rRNA from 1 species